GGCUGAGAUCGUAAGAUCUAACUUCUCUCUUAUAUAACUCCUCAAACAAAAAAUUUCUCAGUUCCUCCAAAACCUAAAAUCUCCGCUGCGGCUCAGAAGAAGGAAACGAAAGGCUUUCUAGGGUUUUCUUCAUCAUGGUUCUCUCAAAUGAUAUCGAUCUGUUGAAUCCAAAACCUGAUUUGGAGAAGAGGAGGCACAAGCUUAAGCGUUUGGUUCAAUCCCAAACUCCUUCUUCAUGCCUGCCUGCCUGUCAACGAAACUGCUUCCCAUU